AUUUUCUCCAAUAACAGGUAAUUGUAAGUUAGAAAUGUAUUUCAAUGGAACUCAUAGAACAUAGGGAAUGGAAUAAAGUCUGCUAUUAUAGAAUAUGUGACCAAAGUAUAAUGUUAUCGUUGAGUUUAUGCUGAAUGGUUGUUUUACGUAUGUGUGUACGACAUAGUUGUUUGAAUAUCAUUCGGUGAGAAGGAAGAUAGCAUGCUAUUUGUGUGUAUGGUGCUGCCAGCCAAGACAUGUUUUCAACAUUUAAAGUGAAUGAUUUAUUUGGUGUGCCAAACAUCACCACAGGUCAAGUAUGUCAGGUUUGUGUUUGUUGUUAUCAAUUAGAGACUGAUCUACCACCAAACCAUAUUACGUUAUUCUCAACCAUGCAAAGAUGUUUUGUUUCAGUUUACAUUAUGAAGCAUGUUUUCUGUGUUGGGUUAUGUGUUAGAGACAACCAGUCCAUCAUAUUGUCCACGUGCUUUGAUGUUAGUGCUCUGCAGUUAUUAAAGAAAACCAGUUAUUGUUACCUUUUUGUAUGCCCUCUAGAUAGACCCUUAUAUUUAUUGUCACUAGUUUGUUGACAAAUCGUAGGGAUGAAUUUUUGGAUGAAUUUUUUUAAUUUGUAAGCUUUCCCUAUAGAUCAAGUUUGAUGAAUAGUAUUGUAAAUGGCUAACAUGUUUGUACAACUUUGUAAGACCGGAUUUGUUGAAAGAAGAUGGACAACUCCACAAGUGUGCUGACCACGGUUCUGUUGUGUCAGGUUCAGGUACUCAGAACAGCAGUGUUGUGCACCAGGCUAUUCUGUCUUCCACUACAGUGACCUGUAUACCUCCAUUAAUAACCUCAGUUAUCAACUUCCUACUUCAGUUCCUAGCUGUAUUCCACCUUUUUUAAAAUGCUGUGGUGCUUACUGACUCUGAUUGAAGUGUAGUGUCAUGGCAGAUGAUUUUGUAAUUUGAUGUUUAAAACCAUUGACAUCCUGUCAGUAAAUCCUUACACAUAGACAGUUGAAGGGUUGAGUGUACAUGUGCUAUGUAACCGUUAAAGUCACCCAGCCUGUUUGGGCGUUGAUGGACUCCUAUUGUGACAGUGUGUCAUAUACUACAUUAACAAAGUUAAGAGCACAUGAUUCUUUCAUUGACUACAGUUAUGAUGUGACAGAUUAACUAUUGUAAUAUGAAAGAAGCUGUGAUCCUUAUCUUUUUUUCAGUAGUAUGUGGGGUAAUACUUGUUGGAAAGUGAUACGAUUAUUUCAGUGAUAUUUCUGGGACCUUUUAUCUUUAACUUCUGUUUGCUGACUUCAUCUGUUAUGUAUUUCUAGUUUGAACGUCUAUAUUUUUAUGCUAAAUUGUUCACCUGAUUAGAAUAGACACUGCCAAUGUGUUUUCUACAAAAGCAUUAUUUGAUUGAUUGACAGUUCAGUAAUUUAUCUAUGUCAGGCAUUUAGACAUGGCACAAAACUAAACCAGUGGAGCCAGAGAGAAGUUGGUUAUAUUUUUGUACUCCAGGUACAGCAGUGUUCAACAUUUGGCUGUGUUGUCAAGAUUGUACAUGUGUAACAUUUUACAGUACAGUACAGUAUGAGGAUAGCAAGGUGCUGUGUUGUCAAGAUUGUACAUGUGUAACAUUUUACAGUACAGUACAGUAUGAGGAUAGCAAGGUGCUGUGUUGUCAAGAUUGUACAUGUGUAACAUUGUACAGUACAGUACAGUAUGAGGAUAGCAAGGUGCUGUGUUGUCAAGAUUGUACAUGUGUAACAUUUUACAGUACAGUACUGUAUGAGGAUAGCAAGGUGCUGUGUUGUCAAGAUUGUACAUGUGUAACAUUUUACAGUACAGUACAGUAUGAGGAUAGCAAGGUGCUGUGUUGUCAAGAUUGUACAUGUGUAACAUUUUACAGUACAGUACAGUAUGAGGAUAGCAAGGUGCUGUGUUGUCAAGAUUGUACAUGUGUAACAUUGUACAGUACAGUACUGUGUGAGGAUAGCAAGGUGCUGUGUUGUCAAGAUUGUACAUGUGUAACAUUGUACAGUACAGUACAGUACUGUGAGGAUAGCAAGGUGCUGUGUUGUCAAGAUUGUACAUGUGUAACAUUGUACAGUACAGUAUCAGGAUAGCAAGGUGCUGUGUCUGGAAGCAGCUUGAGGAGACAGAAGCAAUUGCUCACCAGUCAACAAUUGUAUCAUGUCUAUGUCACAACAAUGUACUCAUCUUUGACUAUAUUUCAUCACAGUAUGUGGUGGCCAGGCUGCAGUGUGUUUGCUAGACAGUUACAAGCUAUCAUAUACACUUUAUAUCAUUGACAAUAUCCACUGCCUGGUCUGUUACUCUUCUUCAUCCUGUAGAUGAUGUAACUGACAGGGGUACUCAGUGUAAUUCAUUAGCUAAUGAAUCCACAUGUGUCCUUUGUAUUUUUAACUAUGGUAUUUUCAAACCUUGACAUUACUUCCUUUGUAAUUUCUUUCUUUCUUACUGAAAUGUGUUGUAGCCAAGUUAAGAGAUGAAUUUGAUAUGUUUCGUUCCUGAUCAUGUGUAGUAUGUACUGCCACAGGGCUGACUCAUCCCAUGAUACUAGGUAUUCUGCUUUGUGUGGCCACACUGUGCUUUGGCACAAUAACCUUGACGCUUGUAUUAGAACAUGUCGCAUAUGGACAAGAAUAUUCAAACACACUUUAAGGAAGUGAAUGACAAUAAGUACAUUUAUAUUAUUGAAGUGAACUAAAUUACAGAAGUGAAUAUGUUUAGUUCAGUAUUUAGGUAAGAUAACCCAACAACCAUUUAGGAGAUGAACAUACUGUGUUGGAAACUCAGAGGUAUAUAACAAGAUUAAAGUAGCUUUAAGUGAAAUAUUUAGAGCUAUUAUCAUUUCGUCAUACAUCUCUGAUUUUCCAACACACAAUGUUUAUCUCCAUUCUACCAUAACCAUGUUAUUAAGAUUAAAAAAACUACAUGCUGUGUUUGAAAAUCAGAGGUAUAUAACGCGAUUAUAUACCUCUGAAUGACUUUAUUUAACCAAUCACAAUCCAGUAUUUACUGCAGUCAUGGUAGAAGUGAAAUGGAAACAGCUUUGAAGAAGUAUUUAAAUUUAUUUUAAAAUUGUCUAAAUUUUUUCACUGGUAUCAUUACCUGUGGAACAUGUGCUUGCUUUAUUUAUUUAACACCACCAUAUGAACAUGUCGUAAUACAGCUGAAGACAGUUUCUGCGUUUAACACCUUUACUGGCAAUAUCACGGUGUAAAAUGUCUCAAGUGGUAUGUAAUACAUGUUUAAACUGCUAUCUCAGACUUGUACAGGGUAAUGUUGAAUUUUCAUUCCAAGGCCCAGAUAGAGCAGUUACAGCGCAUAGAUCAUAAGCCUAUGUUGAUAUUAUGGGUGUUUUGACAGUUUUUGCACAAAGUUCACUUUGUGGGACACAUUUGCGAUUUACACUUGCUUGCUGAAGUGAUUAUGGUAGAUUAAUGCAAUUUUGCUGACUCACUUACUCUUUAAGUUCCCUUUACUGUAGUCUGAUUACAAAUUGCCCUUUUCCUCACAAAACAGUGGAAAUAGGCUUCUGGUUGCCACUUGGCAUUGAGUAAAAGACAACAUUCAGUCACGUUAAGUCCUGAAACACUGCAGACAAAUCUUUCACUGCCAAUUUUGUUUUAUCACCACUCCUAUUACUGCUCAAUCUUGGUACUUAUGGUUGAAUAUUUGACUAUCUUUAGAAAAAGUCUGCAUAAUUACAGAUACCAAUACCGCUGUGUCCCACCUUACCAGUUAAUAGAAGCCAGUUCCUUUCCAAAGAGUGCAGCUCCAGGGUAGCAUAUAUUUGUAUCCCAAAUCCGCAAUAUGCUGUGUUGUCUGAUCCCAUACCCUUUAACUAGCACUUCAUGAGCGUUUGCAUGGCCUUUUAGGACAUUCUGGUGAAUCCCUUUCUCAGUGCUACAUCUUGUUUACUGUGUGUGUAUUGUUGUAAGCAGUGUUUGGGUGUUGAAUGUGACAGCUGCACCUGGUGGUUCAUCCCUCUACCAUGUUAGACAUGUCCUCAUACUUCUCUGUUGGUUGAUUGUACAGGCCUGGUAUUUUAUAUGUCCUUUUUUCAAUUCAAAACAUAUGUUGUCAAACCAUACUUACAUUACAUUGCAUGUAAUGUAUAUAAUAUAUAAAUCUCAAGAAUAAAGUUGUCAGAAAAGUGCA